GAUGAACGCUGGCGGCGUGCCUAAUACAUGCAAGUCGAACGCACAGCGAAAGGUGCUUGCACCUUUCAAGUGAGUGGCGAACGGGUGAGUAACACGUGGACAACCUGCCUCAAGGCUGGGGAUAACAUUUGGAAACAGAUGCUAAUACCGAAUAAAACUCAGUGUCGCAUGACACAAAGUUAAAAGGCGCUUUGGCGUCACCUAGAGAUGGAUCCGCGGUGCAUUAGUUAGUUGGUGGGGUAAAGGCCUACCAAGACAAUGAUGCAUAGCCGAGUUGAGAGACUGAUCGGCCACAUUGGGACUGAGACACGGCCCAAACUCCUACGGGAGGCUGCAGUAGGGAAUCUUCCACAAUGGGCGAAAGCCUGAUGGAGCAACGCCGCGUGUGUGAUGAAGGCUUUCGGGUCGUAAAGCACUGUUGUAUGGGAAGAACAGCUAGAAUAGGGAAUGAUUUUAGUUUGACGGUACCAUACCAGAAAGGGACGGCUAAAUACGUGCCAGCCGCCGCCGUAACAC
rnacentral:rRNA from 1 species